GAUAAGAACGUAGCGAAAUGCGAUAAGUAGUGUGAAUUGCAGAAUUCAGUGAAUCAUCGAAUCUUUGAACGCACAUUGCGCCCUUUGGUAUUCCUUAGGGCAUGCCUGUUCGAGCGUCAUUUAAACCUUCAAGCUCAGCUUGGUGUUGGGUGACUGUCCGCUUCACCGCGGACUCGCCUCAAAAUUAUUGGCGGCCGGUACAUUGGCUCUCGAGCGCAGCAGAAACGCGUAACUCGAGGUCCUCGUGCUGGCUCCCAGAAGCUAUCUUCACAAUUUUGACCUCGGAUCAGGUAGGGAUACCCGCUGAACUUAAGCAUAUCAAUAAGCGGAGGA
rnacentral:misc_RNA from 1 species